CCUACGGGAGGCAGCAGUGAGGAAUAUUGGUCAAUGGACGAGAGUCUGAACCAGCCAAGUAGCGUGAAGGAUGACUGCCCUAUGGGUUGUAAACUUCUUUUAUAUGGGAAUAAAAUGUUCCACGUGUGGGAUUUUGUAUGUACCAUAUGAAUAAGGAUCGGCUAACUCCGUGCCAGCAGCCGCGGUAAUACGGAGGAUCCGAGCGUUAUCCGGAUUUAUUGGGUUUAAAGGGAGCGUAGGUGGAUUGUUAAGUCAGUUGUGAAAGUUUGCGGCUCAACCGUAAAAUUGCAUUUGAAACUGGCAGGCUUGAGUACAGUAGAGGUAGGCGGAAUUCGUGGUGUAGCGGUGAAAUGCUUAGAUAUCACGAAGAACUCCGAUUGCGAAGGCAGCUCACUAGACUGCAACUGACACUGAGGCUCGAAAGUGUGGGUAUCAAACAGGAUUAGAUACCCUAGUAGUC
rnacentral:rRNA from 1 species